rnacentral:sRNA from 1 species
ACUGGGUUUGGUGGCUCAGGCCUGUAAUCUCAGCUAUUCUGGAGGCUGAGGCAGGAGGAUCAUAAGUUCAGGGUCAGCCUGAGCAAUUUAGUGAGACCCUGCCUCAA